rnacentral:rRNA from 1 species
GACGAACGCUGGCGGCGUGCUUAACACAUGCAAGUCGAGCGAUGAAGUUCCUUCGGGAACGGAUUAGCGGCGGACGGGUGAGUAACACGUGGGUAACCUGCCUCAUAGAGGGGAAUAGCCUUCCGAAAGGAAGAUUAAUACCGCAUAAGAUUGUAGUUUCGCAUGAAACAGCAAUUAAAGGAGUAAUCCGCUAUGAGAUGGACCCGCGUCGCAUUAGCUAGUUGGUGAGGUAACGGCUCACCAAGGCGACGAUGCGUAGCCGACCUGAGAGGGUGAUCGGCCACAUUGGGACUGAGACACGGCCCAGACUCCUACGGGAGGCAGCAGUGGGGAAUAUUGCACAAUGGGGGAAACCCUGAUGCAGCAACGCCGCGUGAGUGAUGACGGUCUUCGGAUUGUAAAACUCUGUCUUCAGGGACGAUAAUGACGGUACCUGAGGAGGAAGCCACGGCUAACUACGUGCCAGCAGCCGCGGUAA